ACAGUAAGUAAGCUGUGCCGAUUUUUGCUUUGUGCUUUUCCUUGAACUUUCGUAAUCUGCUGAGUUCCUUUCGUUUCUUUGUGAUUACUCUCGUUCGUGGUGCCAUUCUUAGUACACGUGGUGGUUCGGAGGAGUUUCUGAGGUGAACGACGAGUUACCAGCGACUUAGUGAUUUUGGAGAUAACCCCCAGACUUAGGACGAGUCGGUGUGACGGGAGCUC